rnacentral:rRNA from 1 species
GACAGAGGGUGCAAACGUUGUUCGGAAUUACUGGGCGUAAAGCGCGUGUAGGCGGCUAUGCAAGUCGGGCGUGAAAUCCCACGGCUCAACCGUGGAAGUGCACCCGAAACUGCGUAGCUAGAGUCCUGGAGAGGAAGGUGGAAUGCUUGGUGUAGAGGUGAAAUUCGUAGAUAUCAAGCGGAACACCGGUGGCGAAGGCGGGUCUCUGGACAGUUCCUGACGCUGAGGCACGAAGGCCAGGGGAGCAAACGGG